AACGUCAAAAAUUUUCAUCGAAAAAACGUGUUUUUCUUUAAACAAAUUUUAUCUAAAAUCAAUAAUUUCUCAAUCAAUAUUAAUAAGAACUACAUGUGCAUGGAUUGCCAGUUGGAUUGAUGUUUGUUUUAAGAAGAAAUUUCUCUCAAGUAAGAUAUCCACUCGAGAAAGGUUAUUGCAGCUUGCAGCAACAUCAUGUUUUAUCAAGUAUUGAACCACACAAAGGAUUAAAUCUUCAUUACAAUAUCAUUCAUAACUCCAUUUAAAUCAAUGGAAACUAAAUAUGGAUCGUUUCAUGGAGUAACAACAUACUUUGGAGUUUGGACCCAAAAUACAAUACACGUUAAUAUCAAACUUAUAAGGUGUUAAGCUGCAAUUACAAUAAAAGUGCUUGCUAUGGAAUCACCAGUGCUGAUCAUUAUUGUCAACUGUUACUUAAAAUCCAGAUGAACCAACCUUUACUUCCUAUUCAAAUAAGUUUAGAAGAAACCUAUAUAAGUAAUAAAACCAGACCAAGAAUGCUUGAUUACAAACGAUGAACUCAUUUCAUUUGCAAGUUAUGCCAUGACAUAAAUGCAUUAAAUUAGGAAGAUUUGUAUUAGAUGAAUAUUAACUUCUGUUGAUAAGAACAUUUGAUUGGUGGAAUCCAGAUUCUGUGAAUGUACAUGUAAUUGAUUGACAAGUACACAUUUGACAAGGUGGUGAGAAACGUGUAGAUCUGGCCUGCUUACAGUGGCUAUUGGAUUGGACAGAACCAAAGUGAGAGUGAACGUGUGAAUUUAUGGAGAACAUUAAAAACUAUUUUACUAUAAGUCAUAACGCAACUUAUUUUGUAUGAGUUACAUACAAAUGUCAAGCCGUGAGUA